UCUCUCUCACAGUACCAUGUCCCCCCAGUCUAAUUCCUCUCACAGUACCAUGUCCCCCCAGUCCCUUUCCUCUCUACAGUACCAUGUCCCCCAGUCCCUUUCCUCUCUACAGUACCAUGUCCCCCAGUCCCUUUCCUCUCUACACUAACCUUCCCUUUCGCCCUACCACUAACCCCUAGUCCCGUUCCCUCUCUACACUAACCUUCCCCCCUUUCCUCUCUACACUAACCUGUCCCUUUCGUCUCUACACUAACCUGUCCCCCCAGUCCCUUUCCUCUCUACACUAACCUGUCCCUUUCCUUUCUACACUAACCUUUCCCCUAGUCCCUUUCCUCUCUACACUACCCUGUCUCCAAGUACUUCUCCUCUCUCCCUGGCUAA
rnacentral:lncRNA from 1 species